UUCCCCUACGGGGGGCAGCAGUAGGGAGUCUUCCACAAUGGGCGAAAGCCUGAUGGAGCAACGCCGCGUGGGUGAAGAAGGUCUUCGGAUCGUAAAACCCUGUUGUUAGAGAAGAAAGUGCGUGAGAGUAACUGUUCACGUUUCGACGGUAUCUAACCAGAAAGCCACGGCUAACUACGUGCCAGCAGCCGCGGUAAUACGUAGGUGGCAAGCGUUAUCCGGAUUUAUUGGGCGUAAAGAGAACGCAGGCGGUCUUUUCAGUCUGAUGUUAAAGCCUUCGGCUUAACCGGAGGAGU
rnacentral:rRNA from 1 species